rnacentral:rRNA from 1 species
GGUGAACGCUGGCGGCGUGCCUAAUACAUGCAAGUCGAGCGAACAGACGAGGAGCUUGCUCCUCUGACGUUAGCGGCGGACGGGUGAGUAACACGUGGAUAACCUACCUAUAAGACUGGGAUAACUUCGGGAAACCGGAGCUAAUACCGGAUAAUAUAUUGAACCGCAUGGUUCAAUAGUGAAAGACGGUUUUGCUGUCACUUAUAGAUGGAUCCGCGCCGCAUUAGCUAGUUGGUAAGGUAACGGCUUACCAAGGCAACGAUGCGUAGCCGACCUGAGAGGGUGAUCGGCCACACUGGAACUGAGACACGGUCCAGACUCCUACGGGAGGCAGCAGUAGGGAAUCUUCCGCAAUGGGCGAAAGCCUGACGGAGCAACGCCGCGUGAGUGGUGAAGGUCUUCGGAUCGUAAAACUCUGUUAUUAGGGAAGAACAAAUGUGUAAGUAACUAUGCACGUCUUGACGGUACCUAAUCAGAAAGCCACGGCUAACUACGUG